AUACAACUUUCAACAACGGAUCUCUUGGCUCUCGCAUCGAUGAAGAACACAGCGAAAUGUGAUAAGUAAUGUGAAUUGCAGAAUCCAGUGAACCAUCGAAUCUUUGAACGCAUCUUGCGCUCCUUGGCAUUCCGAGGAGCAUGCCUGUUUGAGUGUCAUUAA
rnacentral:rRNA from 1 species